CCAAUAGCGUAUAUUAAAGUUGUUGCAGUUAAAAAGCUCGUAGUUGAAUUUCGGGAUUAAUAUGUUGGUCGUGCCUUGGUACGUACUGGCAUUAUUGAUUCCUACCUUCUGAAGAACCUCGAUGUCAUUAAUUUGGUGUCUUGGGGAAUCAGGACCGUUACUUUGAAAAAAUUAGAGUGUUUAAAGCAGGCUCGCGCUUGAAUACAUUAGCAUGGAAUAAUGAAAUAGGACGUUUGAUUCUAUUUUGUUGGUUUCUAGGAUCGACGUAAUGAUUAAUAGGGAUAGUUGGGGGCAUUAGUAUCCAAUUGUCAGAGGUGAAAUUCUUGGGUUUAUUGAAGACUGACUACUGCGAAAGCAUUUGCCAAGGAUGUUUUCAUUAAUCAAGAACGAAAGUUAGGGGAUUGAAGACGAUCAGAUACCGUCGUAGUCUUAACCAUAAACUAUGCCGACUAGGGAUCGGAUGAUGUUAAUUUUUUAAUGACUCAUUCGGCGCCUUACG
rnacentral:rRNA from 1 species